rnacentral:rRNA from 1 species
GACGAACGCUGGCGGCGUGCCUAAUACAUGCAAGUCGAACGCAUUUUCUUUCACCGUAGCUUGCUACACCGAAAGAAAAUGAGUGGCGAACGGGUGAAUAACACGUGGGUAACCUGCCCAUCAGCGGGGGAUAACACUUGGAAACAGGUGCUAAUACCGCAUAAUUCCAUUUACGGCAUGGUAGAUGGAUGAAAGGCGAUUUUGCGUCACUGAUGUAUGGACCCGCGGUGCAUUAGCUAGUUGGUGGGGUAACGGCCUACCAAGGAUGCGAUGCAUAGCGGACCUGAGAGGGUGAUCGGCCACACUGGGACUGAGACACGGCCCAGACUCCUACGGGAGGCAGCAGUAGGGAAUCUUCGGCAAUGGACGCAAGUCUGACCGAGCAACGCCGCGUGAGUGAAGAAGGUUUUCGGAUCGUAAAACUCUGUUGUUAGAAAAGAACAAGGAUGAGAGUGGAAAGUUCAUCCCUUGACGGUAUCUAACCAGAAAGCCACGGCUAACUACGUGCCAGCAGCCGCGGUAA